rnacentral:tRNA from 1 species
AUUUAUAUAUUUUAAAAAAUAUUACAUUUUCAUUGUAAAGAUACCCAUUAGGGUUAUAAAUA